rnacentral:rRNA from 1 species
UUUCUUACCGAAAAUAUUUGAUUUUAUUAUUAGUUGGGCUGCAUUAUACUAUAGGCCCAUAUUUAUAUCGAGUAGAUGUAUUCAAACUAUUUAUACGCUGUGAGAAAUUAUUCGCAUAUAUUUAUACCUGUUUAAUGACUAUUUAAUUAUACCUAUACCCUGCGCUACGAGGUGCAUGGUUUUAAAAUAUUUAUUAUGUUUUAUUAUUAUUAAUUAAGGGUUAGAAUUACCCAUGGUUAGUAACUGUGUUAUAACUUUUAUUAUCUUUUUUAUCAAAUUUUUUUAUUUGUCAUUUUUUAUUAAUUUUUAGUAUCAAUUUAUGAUUAAAUUAGUAAUAUUAAUUUAAAUUUUGUUUCUCAAUAGCUUCCUGUCUGUUUAUUAAAAACAUUUCCACUUUAAAUUUUUAGUGGUAGUACCUGCUCUAUGCUUUUGUAAAUGGCCGCAGUAUCUUGACUGUGCGAAGGUAGCAUAAUUAAUUGCCUUAUAAUUGAAGGCUUGUUUGAAUGGUUUGACAAGGUGGUAUAAAACAUAGUUUAUAUUAUUGAAAUUAAUUAUGGGGGCACAGAAUCCCCUUAAUUUAAUUAGACGGAAAGACCCCGGGAUCUUUUAUUUUUGUCUGGGGCAGAUUGCUGUUUUUCACAUGUUAAUUAGACCCUAAUGGUGCAUUGGUGUAAGUUACCCCGGGGAUAACAGUGUAAUAGCAUAUUAGAGAUCUUAUCGAAUUUGCUGCUUGCCACCUCGAUGUUGACUUAGAAUUAAUCUUGGGCGCAGUAGCUCAAGUUUUUGGUCUGUUCGACCUUAGUUUUCCUCCAUGAGUUGAGUUAAGACCGGCGUAA